rnacentral:lncRNA from 1 species
CAUUAUUGAAUGUGACCAACUCCAAAGCAUUCUGCUGCCGAGAAUGUCUCUGAUGGAUAUAGGUAUAAGUAUCUCUUAGAUCUGAGAUCGCCUCAGUGACUUGCAAGCAACUCACUGUGCUUUGGUACUAGACUAACUGACGGAAGGCUUCUGGGUACAGUCAAGUACUUGUAAAGUCAGAGUGUGAUCAAGAUGGGAUUGACCACUCC